CAAAAAAAAAAAAAAAAAAAACUGAGAACAGAGAAAAAAAAAACUUAAAAACAACAAUCAGUUAACAAAUGAGUAGUUAUUAAGAAUUUGCUAAUUUAAAACGAUGAGUUUUUAAACCAGACUUCAAUGCAGGGAGGGAGUGGAUGUUGCGGAUGUUUAGUGGGAGAGAAUUCCAGAGACGAGGGGCAGAGUGGCUGAAGGCUCUGGGCCCCAGGCGGGCAGAGGGAAUAGUGAGUUGGGAGGCAGAGGAAGAUCGGAGAGAGCGAGAGGGAGUGUAGGUGUGAAGGAGUUCAGAGAGGUAUAAAGGUGCAAGAUUGUGAAGGGCCUUGAAGGUGAGGAGCAGAAUUUUAAAAUCAAUACAGUAUUUAACUGGGAGCCAAUGAAGUUGUUGAAAAACCGGAGUGAUAUGGUCUAUGGAAGGAGUUCUGGUGAUGAUACGGGCGGCUGUAUAUUUAAUGGGUGUAACAUAAAAUGUAUUAAUCAUUUCACCUAUUAGAUUAUUAUUAUUAGAUCAACUCAAAAUAAAUGUGUUUAUUGGGGGACUACCUUUUGAGCAUGUGCAACAACGGUUCUCUCACAGCCUUUUCUCCUGGCUGCAACAAGAUCAGUGGGCUACUGACUGCAGGUGAAAGUCCAUUCUUUGGUACUGUAAGUAUUUGUUUUAUGUAGUAAUUUAGAAUUUGUUGUCAAAUAACUUUCAUUUAAUGAUGUUGUCAUUUUCAGUUAAGUCCGAGUUGGCUACCUAGCUUGCAAGCUAGGUAGCUGUCAUUAGCAUUUUAGACCUGACCGGAGAUCAAUAUUUCCUACAAUCAACAUUAAAUGGCUUAGGUGCUGCACCUAAGCGCCUCCAUAUGAAUGUAGAAACCACCCAGAAUUGUGUAGUAACGUACAUUUACUCCAUUACAUGUAACAUUACUUAAGUAACUUCUUUGAGCUAAUUGUACUUGUCAGAGUAGUUUUAAUUCUGCAUACCUUUUACUCUUACUAGACCUUUAGAAAAAAAGAUCAUUACUUUUACUCUGUUACAUUUGGAUGUCUUCAUAGUGCUACUUUAAUUAAUGUAUUAUUUUAUGGUGGUCAAACUCUGUCCCAGGUCUGCUGGCGCUGACUUCUCAACCUUGUCCCACAGACGACUACAGAUCGUGGAGCAGAGGCCCAUGAUGGUAGAGAUGGCCUGCCCAGUUGCAGCAGAGUGAAGUGAAUGCAGAGUUCUUGCUGAUCAACACCAAGCCACUUCUCAGACAAGCCCAUACAGAUCUUCAAGAGCAAAGGAGGAGUGAAAGGGCAAAGGAUCAAAGACGCCCUUGCUAUUACAUAUUCGGCCUUCACCGCUGAGGAUGCAGAGAGGGACUUCACAAUCACAGUCAUGUUUUCUUGGUUCUAACAUUUAAAAGCACUGUAAGAUGUACUGUACAGACACAUUUGGAGUUGUUUUAGCUUUCAUUUUUUGCUCAGUCUGUUUAUUCAUACGUGUUAGAAAAAAAGAAACGUAGGCACGUGGAUGGUCAGUUUUGACCAUGCUGAACUUAUCUUUAAACAUUUUCAAUAAAAAUAUUGC